AGCGAACGCUGGCGGCAGGCCUAACACAUGCAAGUCGAACGAACUCUUCGGAGUUAGUGGCGGACGGGUGAGUAACACGUGGGAACGUGCCUUUAGGUUCGGAGUAACUCAGGGAAACUUGUGCUAAUACCGAAUGUGCCCUUCGGGGGAAAGAUUUAUCGCCUUUAGAGCGGCCCGCGUCUGAUUAGCUAGUUGGUGAGGUAAAGGCUCACCAAGGCGACGAUCAGUAGCUGGUCUGAGAGGAUGAUCAGCCACAUUGGGACUGAGACACGGCCCAAACUCCUACGGGAGGCAGCAGUGGGGAAUCUUGCGCAAUGGGCGAAAGCCUGACGCAGCCAUGCCGCGUGAAUGAUGAAGGUCUUAGGAUUGUAAAAUUCUUUCACCGGGGACGAUAAUGACGGUACCCGGAGAAGAAGCCCCGGCUAACUUCGUG
rnacentral:rRNA from 1 species